rnacentral:rRNA from 1 species
GAUGAACGCUGGCGGCGUGCUUAGCACAUGCAAGUCGAACGAUGAAGCCCAGCUUGCUGGGUGGAUUAGUGGCGAACGGGUGAGUAACACGUGAGUAACCUGCCCUUAACUCUGGGAUAAGCCUGGGAAACUGGGUCUAAUACCGGAUAGGAGCGCCUACCGCAUGGUGGGUGUUGGAAAGAUUUAUCGGUUUUGGAUGGACUCGCGGCCUAUCAGCUUGUUGGUGAGGUAAUGGCUCACCAAGGCGACGACGGGUAGCCGGCCUGAGAGGGUGACCGGCCACACUGGGACUGAGACACGGCCCAGACUCCUACGGGAGGCAGCAGUGGGGAAUAUUGCACAAUGGGCGAAAGCCUGAUGCAGCGACGCCGCGUGAGGGAUGACGGCCUUCGGGUUGUAAACCUCUUUCAGUAGGGAAGAAGCGAAAGUGACGGUACCUGCAGAAGAAGCACCGGCUAACUACGUG